rnacentral:lncRNA from 1 species
CGCUGAGAAGGUCACGCUUCGUACUGACUCUCAACUCGUAGCUCGGCAAACCACUGGUGAGUUUGCCUGCAAGGAACCACAAAUCACGAAAUAUGUGGAAGCUAUGGUAGAACUCACCAAGCAGUUCGCUGAGUUUAAAAUCGAGCAAAUCACUCAAACUCAGAACACACCCGCCGAUGCCCUAGCACGGCUAGCAUCGGCCUGGG